GGAGAAAGCAGGGGAUCGCAAGACCUUGCGCUUUUGGAGCGGCCGAUGCCUGAUUAGCUUGUUGGUAAGGUAAAAGCUUACCAAGACUUCGAUCAGUAGCUGGUCUGAGAGGACGGCCAGCCACACUGGGACUGAGACACGGCCCAGACUCCUACGGGAGGCAGCAGUGGGGAAUUUUGGACAAUGGGGGCAACCCUGAUCCAGCCAUGCCGCGUGAGUGAAGAAGGCCUUCGGGUUGUAAAGCUCUUUCAGCCGGAACGAAACGGUUACGGUUAAUACCCGUGACUAAUGACGGUACCGGAAGAAGAAGCACCGGCUAACUACGUGCCAGCAGCCGCGGUAAUACGUAGGGUGCGAGCGUUAAUCGGAAUUACUGGGCGUAAAGUGUGCGCAGGUGGUUUUGUAAGUCAGAUGUGAAAUCCCCGGGCUCAACCUGGGAACUGCGUUUGAAACUACAAGGCUAG
rnacentral:rRNA from 1 species